rnacentral:rRNA from 1 species
GAUGAACGCUGGCGGCGUGCCUAAUACAUGCAAGUCGAGCGAACAGACGAGGAGCUUGCUCCUCUGACGUUAGCGGCGGACGGGUGAGUAACACGUGGAUAACCUACCUAUAAGACUGGGAUAACUUCGGGAAACCGGAGCUAAUACCGGAUAAUAUAUUGAACCGCAUGGUUCAAUAGUGAAAGACGGUUUUGCUGUCUCUUAUAGAUGGAUCCGCGCCGCAUUAGCUAGUUGGUAAGGUAACGGCUUACCAAGGCAACGAUGCGUAGCCGACCUGAGAGGAUGAUCAGCCACACUGGAACUGAGACACGGUCCAGACUCCUACGGGAGGCAGCAGUAGGGAAUCUUCCGCAAUGGGCGAAAGCCUGACGGAGCAACGCCGCGUGAGUGAUGAAGGUCUUCGGAUCGUAAAACUCUGUUAUUAGGAAAGAACAAAAGUGUAAGUAACUAUGCACGUCUUGACGGUACCUAAACAGAAAGCCACGGCUAACUACGUG